GAUGAACGCUGGCGGCGUGCCUAAUACAUGCAAGUCGAGCGAACAGAUGAGGAGAUUGCUCCUCUGACGUUAGCGGCGGACGGGUGAGUAACACGUGGAUAACCUACCUAUAAGACUGGGAUAACUUCGGGAAACCGGAGCUAAUACCGGAUAAUAUAUUGAACCGCAUGGUUCAAUAGUGAAAGACGGUUUUGCUGUCACUUAUAGAUGGAUCCGCGCCGCAUUAGCUAGUUGGUAAGGUAACGGCUUACCAAGGCAACGAUGCGUAGCCGACCUGAGAGGGUGAUCGGCCACACUGGAACUGAGACACGGUCCAGACUCCUACGGGAGGCAGCAGUAGGGAAUCUUCCGCAAUGGGCGAAAGCCUGACGGAGCAACGCCGCGUGAGUGAUGAAGGUCUUCGGAUCGUAAAACUCUGUUAUUAGGGAAGAACAAAUGUGUAAGUAACUAUGCACGUCUUGACGGUACCUAAUCAGAAAGCCACGGCUAACUACGUG
rnacentral:rRNA from 1 species